AAUGGGCGCAAGCCUGAUCCAGCAAUGCCGCGUGGGUGAAGAAGGCCUUCGGGUUGUAAAGCCCUUUAAGCGGGGAGGAAAGCCGGGGUGUAAAUAACGCCUCGGGGUGACGUUACCCGCAGAAUAAGCACCGGCUAACUCCGUGCCAGCAGCCGCGGUAAUACGGGGGGUGCGAGCGUUAAUCGGAAUGACUGGGCGUAAAGCGUGCGUAGGCGGUGUAAUCAGUCAGCCGUGAAAGCCCCGGGCUUAACCUGGGAAUGGCGGUUGAGACGGUUAAACUAGAGUGGGCUAGAGGACUGUGGAACUCCCGGUGUAGCGGUGAAAUGCGUAGAGAUCGGGAAGAACACCGAUGGCGAAGGCAGCAGUCUGGGGCCACACUGACGCUGAGGCACGACGGCGUGGGGAGCAAA
rnacentral:rRNA from 1 species